UUCAUUCUAUUAACAUUUUUGUCUUUGGGAAAGCAACGCGGGGGUGCAGAAAUGUACAAAUAAGGACUUCACACAUCAAGAACACCAAAUUCUAGUACAUAGCAGAAAGUUCACAUUUGGGAAAACAUUCCAAGAUUGGAAUCCAACAGAAUCCUCCAAACAAAAAUUGAAUUUGGCGUGUUUGCACAAGUGAAAUGGCAGGUUUGUUCAAACAAACCAGUGGAUUUCUGUGAUUAAUGCAGCAUGCAAACACUGCUCAAACAAACCUGUUUAAAAAAAAAAAAAAAAAAAAAAAAAAAAAAAAAAAAAAAAGAGUAAAAACUUGCGCAGCAGCUGCAGGACACUGCCAGGGCAGUUGGUCAAUAACGUUACAUAAGUGGUUUGUUUUCACUACUUCACUUGUUCUCACUGCGUCUCCUCGGGUCUCACGCAAACGUCACUAAACAAACAGACUUUGUGUCACAGCGAG